GGAAUAUUGGGCAAUGGAGGCAACUCUGACCCAGCCAUGCCGCGUGCAGGAAGACGGUCCUCUGGAUUGUAAACUGCUUUUGAAUGGGAAGAACAUACAGUUUGCGAACUGUACUGACGGUACUAUUAGAAUACGCACCGGCUACCUACGUGCCAGCAGCCGCGGUACUCAGGAGGGUGCAAGCGUUAUCCGGAUUUAUUGGGUUUAAAGGGUGCGUAGGCGGCCUUAUAAGUCGGUGGUUAAAGGUAGCAGCUUAACUGUUUUACAUGCCAUCGAUACUGUAGGGCUUGAGUGAUUUGGAGGUAGCUAGUAUUCCCUGUGUAGCGGUGAAAUGCAUAGAUACGGGGAGGAAUACCGAUUGCGAAGGCAUGUUACUACGAAUUAACUGACGCUGAGGCACGAAAGCGUGGGGAUCAAAC
rnacentral:rRNA from 1 species